CGUUAGCAGAAAGCUUAACACAUGCAAGUCGAACGGUAACAGGAAUAGCUUGCUAUUUGCUGACGAGUGGCAAACGGGCGAGUAACACGUGCUUGACCUACCUUAAGGUAAGGGACAACCUUGGAAACAAGGCUAAUCCCUUAUAAGCUCUUAAAGAUUAAAUACUUAAAGAGGAAAGAUUUAUCGCCUUAAGAGGGGGGUGCGGAUCAACAGCUAGUUGGUAGGGUAAGAGCCUACCAAGGCGAUGACGGAUAGCCGGCCUGAGAGGGUGAUCGGCCGCAACGGGACUGAGACACGGCCCGUACUCCUACGGGAGGCAGCAGUGAGGAAUUUUGGACAAUGGAGGAAACUCUGAUCCAGCUAUUCUGCGUGGAGGAUGAAGCUUUUCGGAGUGUAAACUUCUUUUCUGGGGGAAGAUGAAUGACGGUACCUCAGGAAUAAGGGGCGGCUAACUAUGUGCCAGCAGCCGCGGUAAUACAUAGGCCUCAAACGUUACCCGGAGUUACUGGGCGUAAAGGGUCCGUAGCCGGAUAUAUAAGUCUAUCUUCAAAGACUGAAGCUUAACUUCAGGAAGGGGGUAGAUACUGUGUAUCUAGAGAUAGAAGGGGGUUAGUGGAAUUUCCGGUGGAGCGGUGGAAUGCGUUGAUAUCGGGAAGAACGCCAAAAGUGAAGACAGCUAACUACUACUAAUCUGACGGUAAGGGACGAAAGCAUAGGUAUCAAAUAGGAUUAGAUACCCUAGUAGUCUAUGCUGUAAAUGAUGUAUGCUAAGUGUUGGUUCUUAUGAAUCAGUACUGAACCUAACGGGAUAAGCAUACCGCCUGGGAAGUAUAGUCGCAAGACCGAAACUCAAAAGGAUAGGCGGGGGAACAUACAAACAGUGGAUUAUCUCGAUUAAUUGGAUAAUAAACCAAGAAUCUUACCCGGGUUUGACAUCCUUGGAAUCUUGUAGAAAUAUAGGAGUGUCCAGCUUGCUGGAAGCCAAGUGACAGGUGCUGCCAUGGCCGUCGUCAGCUCGUGCCGCAAGGUGUUCGGUUAA
rnacentral:rRNA from 1 species